CCCGAUUGUACAUUGGCGGCUUAAGCUAUGGCUUAGUUGAACCGGGUUCAAUUUUGAGCGUCGGUUUAACUUCAUUCGGGUUGUUCAAUGCCGAGUUCAGUUAAGCCGAGGUUCAUACAAAUUUUGGUAAGGUUGGCAACGUAAGGCAUGCGUAUUCAAAGCAAUUCCCGUCAAUUCUCGACAUAAAUUUUCCCGCCAUUUAUGUAUUAUUAUUUGGUUUUUGUCAAUAUAAUUCUUUUAUUACUGUUAUUAGUUUAAUCGGUAUUUUCUAUCGUUUAGUUUAUCAGUUUAAUCAAUUUCCUACGUUAAAUUUGUGAACAGACCAUUUGAAUAGCUUGUGAUGAAGGAUUGCGUAAGGGUGUUAUCAGGUUUUCUUGACUCCGUAACCACUAUCACCAAAGAAGAUACUAAUUCAAUCUUCACAUUCUCUUCUCAUAAAUAUUUAACUGUUUACAGCUAUGAUUUCAAAUUCACUCAAAAAUGUUAAUAUUUGCCUUAUUCUAGGGAAGUAGGUAGGUAAUUUAAAUAAUUUUAGAAGGUAAAUUAGUUUGUAAUUAUUAUUAAAUAAAGUGAUAAUAUGUACCUACAUAAGCAUGGUACAAAUAUAAUUAAUUUAAGAUUUAUUAAUAAAUUAUGUACAUCUAAUUUAAUAAAUUAACAAAAUCGUUUUCUACAUUUGCUUCAAAAUCAUUCACAAGUUGCAAAAAGGAGCCUGUUGCUUAAAACCAGUGAUAUGGGCCCACUUCACUGCACAAAACCUUAAUUUAAGGCAAUAAAAACAAUGUUCUUAGAAGAUACAGCUUGGUUCUUGAAAUGUCAAUAACAAAUUUGCCACUUGUUUUCGUUCUCGUUCUUACCUAUCUGUUCGAUUUUUUAUUCUAUGAGCAAUACUAGUUUCAUACAAAUAGUGAACAGUGAACAGAUAUCCAAAAUCUUU